CAAUGUUUUCAAACUUUUCUCGAAUAGCCUAUUUCAAACCACAUCGAACAACAUUAAUCAACGCAAACAUCGGCGUUAUGAUUUUCUUUUUUAUAAAUACAGUCUAUGUGACAUUUUAGACUAAACAAGAUCUCGUAUUGUGGAGGCGCCGUCACUUGAUAUUGUUUCCAAAACAAACAUGAGAAGUUUAAGAAACCUUACGGGGCUCAGAUACUUUAUGCCCACUAAUAUCAUUAUACGUGCACUUGUUUUAUUUUUUAUUACGAUUUUAUUGAAAGAAAAGUAUUUUUGCAAUAAUGUUUAAGUUACAAGUUCUCCGAUUGGACAAACCCGAUUUCUCAAAAUUGCCGCAUCAACUUCACAAAGCAAGACUGAACGCCUCAUCUAAUUUCAUAAUAUGUGCAUUCAUUUGGCGCUAAAAUAAAAGGCUAACCAUGGA